GAGGACUGGAUCAACUCAGGCUACCAUCAUAGUGUACCAGGCUGUAGCAGAGUACUGGGCCAGUGCUAAAGAACCAGAGUACGAUCUGAAUGUGGAUAUCUUGUUGCCGGGCAGGUCAAAGCCUGAAAAGUUUAUCUUCAACCAGGAAAACAGCUAUACCACAAGAACAUCUAAAAUCAAUAAUAUAAACCAGGAUGCAAAAGACUGCUAC